rnacentral:rRNA from 1 species
AUUGAACGCUGGCGGCAGGCUUAACACAUGCAAGUCGAGCGGAGAGAGGUAGCUUGCUACUGAUCUUAGCGGCGGACGGGUGAGUAAUGCUUAGGAAUCUGCCUAUUAGUGGGGGACAACAUUUCGAAAGGAAUGCUAAUACCGCAUACGUCCUACGGGAGAAAGCAGGGGAUCUUCGGACCUUGCGCUAAGAGAUGAGCCUAAGUCGGAUUAGCUAGGUGGUGGGGUAAAGGCCUACUGAGGCGACGAUCUGUAGCGGGUCUGAGAGGAUGAUCCGCCACACUGGGACUGAGACACGGCCCAGACUCCUACGGGAGGCAGCAGUGGGGAAUAUUGGACAAUGGGCGCAAGCCUGAUCCAGCCAUGCCGCGUGUGUGAAGAAGGCCUUAUGGUUGUAAAGCACUUUAAGCGAGGAGGAGGCUACUUUAGUUAAUACCUAGAGAUAGUGGACGUUACUCGCAGAAUAAGCACCGGCUAACUCUGUGCCAGCAGCCGCCGUAACAC